rnacentral:misc_RNA from 1 species
CGCACAUUGCGCCCGCUGGUAUUCCAGCGGGCAUGCCUGUUCGAGCGUCAUUUCAACCCUCAAGCCCAGCUUGGUGUUGGGGCAUUGCCUUGUUCCCUCGGGAAGGGCAAGCCCUGAAAUCUAGUGGCGAGCUCGCCAGGACUCCGAGCGUAGUAGUUUUACCACCUCGCUUAGGACGGACUGGCGGUGCCCUGCCGUAAAACCCCCCCAAUUUAUUACCAAAGGUUGACCUCGGAUCAGGUAGGAAUACCCGCUGAACUUAA